ensembl:lncRNA
UCAUCAGUGAAUGCUAAACCUGUUGGUUGAAGAGGUAUUGGGAAACAGGCACUAUGAAAAGAAUUAAAUAUAAUCGCACAGAUGCUACUACAAAGGAGAAUGUGUAUCUUUAAAAAGAUCUUGCCACUAUAAUAACUAAGUGUUUAAAUUUAGCAUCAUCAAAAGCAGGGGAACCUGACAUCAUGCCUCUCCCAAUGUGAUGUAAUUAUACACUCUCACCUAUUUAGUUUUCUUGCCCACAGUGUUUAACUGGAAUUUAAUCAUGAGGAAAUUAUUAGACAAAGCCUGAGCGAAGUCAGUAACUUGGGCUUCUCAUAAAGUCAGUAUCCUGAAAAAAAGUAGGGGAACUCUUCUAAAUAGAAAGAGAUGAGAGAGAUAUAAUGACCAAAUGGAAUGCUUGAAUCUUGAUUGUAACCUGGAUAUCAAAAAAAGAAAAACCCAGCAAAUAGCUGUAAAAGACACUUUUGAGACAAUUGAGAAAUUUGAAUAUAGAUUGAAGAUUAAAUGACAUUCCCAUUGUGGGAAUUCUCACUGAGUUGGCAUUGUGGUUCAGUGGGUUAAGAACCCAACUAGUAUCCAUGGGGAUAUGAAUUCAAUCCCUGGCCUCUCUCAAUGGAUUAAGGAUCCGGUGUUGCUGUGAGCUGUAGGGCAGGUCACAGAUGCAGCUCAGAUCCUGCAUUGCUGUGGCUGUGGUAUAGACCUGCAGCUGCAGUUCCGAUUCGACCCCUAGCCUGGGAACUUCCAUAUGCUGCAGGUGCGGCCCUAAAAAGAAAAAAAAUGACAUUACGGAAUAAUUACUAAUUUUCUUAGGUGUGAUAAUGAUAGAGUGGUCAUGCCAGGAAAAGUCUUAUUCUUAGGCAGUGUGCACAGAAAUAUUUAGAGGUGAAGUGGCAUGAUGUUUGCAACUUCCAAAUAUUCAGCAAAAUCAAUGUAUGUGUGUAUACAUACAUCGAUGUGUGUGUAUAUAUAUAUGUGUAUACACGCAGAAAUAGGAAAUGGCAAAAUGUUAACGAUUGAAAAAUGGAUAAAUCUAGAUAGAGAAUAUAGAAAUAUUUCUUAUAUUAUUCUUGGAGAUUUUCUAUAGGUUUGAAAUUUUUCUGGGUGGAGAGAUUUUUUUUUUUUUAAACUAAUACCAUUUGGAAUUAAUGAAUAAGGCCAAAUUCAAAAGAAAAACCAAUGAGUGGCAAAUUAGUGUGAAUGUGGCCUUAUUUUUACCUUCUUUCAUUUUUUAAAUUGAGAUAUAGUUGAUUUACAAUAUUAUAUUAGUUUCAAGUGUACAACAUGGUGAUUCAGUGUUUUAUAUAUCCUUUCACUUUAAUGUUUGUACUACAGUUAGCUACAUUUAGUAAUUAAUUUUAUGAAGUAAAUAUAUAGUGCCCCUUGGAAGCUUUUAUUUUAUUGUAAGUAUAUAUUUUCUCAGCCUAAAAACUAUGGUAAAUAAAAAAUAUCCUCUUAAUCAGAGGAGGAGCAGGGCAAAGGCCCCGGGGCUUUAUUUGCCAAUUAAAACACUGGAUCUUUAACCCACUGUGCCGGGCCAGGGCUUGAACCUGCGUCCCAGCACUCCCAAGACACUGCCAAUCCCAUUGCACAUAGCGGGAACUCCUAUCCCUUCCUUUUUAAAAAUGUCUUUGCUGAAGGAUUUUAAAGUAAAUCUCAGACAUUGUAUCAUUUCACUUGUAAAUACUUAAAAAUUGAUUUUUAACAGAUAAGGUCUUCAUAAUUUUAAUCAAGCCACACUAUCAUUGCCACUCAACAAAAUUAAUAAGAUUUCCUUAAUAAUCAUGUCAUAAUCAGCCUGUAUUCAAUUUUCCUAUCUCAAAAAUAUCUUCCUCCAGGUUAAGUCAGGAUCCAACAUUACAUUUAGUUAGUAUGUCUCUUUUAAAAACUCUAUAUAACAUUCACCCUGUUUUUAAUUUCUUUCCUCUUGCUAUUUAUAUGAGGAAAUAACUAAAUCAUAUAUUCUAUAGAAUUUCCUCCAUUCAAGAUCCGGCUGAUGGUAUCCCCAUGGUGUCUAGUUAGAUCUAGAAACUUGUCUGAAAUUUUUUUCCAGGAAUACUCCAUAGGUGAUGCUGUGUACUUUCUUUUGCAUCACUCCAGGAGGCACAUGAUAUAUAGUUGUUCCACUUUCAGUGAUCUUAAGUUUGGUCAGUGAUUUUCGGUGCCAUCUACCAUCAAUCUUCCUUAUCAGUCUUUCACAUAAUGUUGUUAGCAGCCAUUGAUGAUUAUUGCCUGGAUCUAUUAUUUCAUUAGGAUUUGCAAAAUAGUGAUUUGGAGAUUCUAUCAAACCUUUUGCAUUUAUUAUCUGUGAUUCUUCUGUAAAGAUAAACUUCUCUAAAGCUGAAUGGGAAAGAUGGGAUAAAAUGUUUAUGAAUUUUUAGAAUGGGUUAGAGCCCCAGCAACCUACAAAGGUGACAAAGAGGUUUUUGUUUUUUAGGCUGGGAUGUGACACAACCUUCAUUUUGAAACAUUGUGUUUAGAAUGGGUUGGAGCAGGAUAAUACUAUAUCUUUAUCUGUUUUUUAAGAUACCACAUAUAAAUGAUAUCAUAUAAUGUUUGUCUUUUUCUGUCUGACUUACUUGACUUAGUAUGGUAAUCUCUAGAGCCUUCCAUGUUGCUUCAAACGGCAUUAUUUGAUUCAGAAAAUGCUGUAUUUGAAAGAUCAGAAAUCUGAGCGGCCUGAAUAGUGGGAGAGGAGAGAACCAAGAGGAGUUAGCAAUUAGUUGGAUGUGAGGAUUUAGGGAAAAGCGGGCGUCAGAGACUACCUCCAGGUGGGUUUGAUAGUGAGUGCCAGGAGUGUGAUGCUGUUAUAGAAGGUAUAGGUCUCAAUCAAAUUAACCCCCUCAAGGAGCCACACAUAUUCGAGAGAUAUUUUGUCUCACACUGUUACCUAUUGCACAGUCUUGAGUCAGAAUUUAAGCCAAUAGUGGGGCCACUGUUCAUGUGUCUACCUGGUGGGGUGGAGUGCAUUUGGGAGGCAAAGCAUUGGAUCUCACUUGGAGAUGCUGAGUUUGAGGUGCUGCUGUCAUAUUCAUGGGAGGAUGUAGAGCAGACUACAGAAAAUGCAGGAGGGAACCUGAGAAAAAGGAUAAACUAGAAUCAUACACAGAAGACGAUGUGUAUGUUAUCUGGAAGUAAGCCCUGAUGCUUAACUAUGAACCCAAGGCAUUGCCAAGGGAGUGAUUACAUAGAAGAAAGAGGGCUCAGAAACAAAAGCUAAAUGUCAAUCCACUCCCUAAUGUCUGUGAUUCUUCCUCUGUGACUGUGAGCUAGCCCAACCCCACAUUUCCUUAGAAUAGUCACAGACACAGGGACUAGAGUUGAUAGGUGUACAGAGGUCCCACUGAUGGCUUACACUCUGACUGAUAACUCUGUAAUGGGUAAAACUUUGAGGCAAACCAAAUACCUCUCAAAUAUGUGUGGCUCUUGAGGAAUCAGAUUGAUUGGGACCUGUAUUAGUUUCCUAUGGCUGCUGUAAUCAGUUACCACAAAAUUGGUGGCUAAAAACAAUACACAUUUACAUUCUAACAGGAGACCAGAAGUCUGAAAUGGGUUUCACAGGGCUUCUGUUCCCCAUCCUGUGUUCAGCAUUACCUGAAUAAGCCAUAGCCUCACAGAUCUGCUCAAGGUUACCUGGAUAGGCUUUCGUUUCUGUGGCUCUCUGCUAUGGUUUCUUUUCUUUUCUUUUUUUUUCUCUUUUUCAUUUUAAAAAAUUUUGUUAAAGAAUAGUUGAUAUACAAUGUUAUGAUAAUUUCUGCUAUGCAGCAAAAUGAUUCAGUUAUACGUGUACACCAGUUGUCUUUCAGAUUCUUUUACCACGUAGACUAUCACAGAAUAUGGGUAGAAUUCUCUGUGGUGUAUAGCAGGUCCGGGGUGGUCAAUCAUUCCAUAUACCUCAGUGUGCAUGUGCCAAUUCCAAAACCCCAGUCCAUCCCUCCCCUCCCUACCUGUCCCCUUUGGUAACCAUAAGUUUAUUUUCAAAGUCUAUUGAGUCUGUUUGUGUUCUGCAAAUAAGUUCAUUUGCAUCCUUUUUUAAAUUCUACAUAUAAGUGACAUCAUAUGAUGUUAGUCUUUCAUUGUCUGACUAACUGCACUUAGUAUGAUAAUUUCUAGUUCCAUUCAUGUAGUUGCAAAUGGCAUUGUUUCAUUCUUGUUUAUGGCAGAGUAAUACUCCACUGUAUAUAUCUACCACAUCUUCUUUAUCCAUUCUUCUGUAGAUGGACAUUUAGAUUGUUUCCAUGUCUUGGCUAUUCUAAAUAGUGCCGCAGUGAACAUUGGGGUAUAUAUAUCUUUUCAAAUUAUGGUUUUCUCUGGAUAGAUGCCCAGGAGUGAGAUCAUAUGGUAGUUCUAUUUUUAAUUUUUUGAGGCAUCUCCACAUUGUUUUCCAUAGUGGUUGUACCAAUUUACAUUCCCACCAACAGUGUAAGAGGGUUCCCUUUUAUUUGUACCCUUUCCAGAAUUUAUGUAGACUUUGUGUUGAUGCCAUUCUGCCUGGUGUAACAUGGUACCUUAUUGUAGUUUUGAUUUGCAUUUUUCUAAUUAUUAGUGAUGUUGAGCAUCUUUACAUGUGCCUUUUGGCCAUCUGUAUGUCUUUGGAGAAAUAUCUAUUUAGAUCUGUCCAGUUUUUGAUUGGGUUGUUUGGUUUUUUGAUAUUUACCAAUAUAAGUUUGUUUAUUUUGGAGAUUAAUCCCUUGUCGGUUGCCUCAUUUGCAAGUAUUUUUUUCCAUUCUGUGGAUUGUCUUUUUGUUCUCUUCCCUGCUAUGGUUUCUACCUGAAAUCUCCUUUAGCCUUUUUAUGUUUUUAAAUUUAUUUUUAAAAUUUUCGGCUAUGGCCUCUAAUGGCUUGAUAUGGGAUCUUAGUUGUUGGACCAGGGAUCAAACCCAAACCACAGCAGUGGAAGCGCUUCUAACCACCAGGCUAUUAGGAAAUACCUCCCCUUACCUUUUAAAAAAAUAACAGCAUUAUUGAGACAUAAUUCACAUAACAUAAAAGUCACCCUCUUUAAAGUAUACAGUUCAGUGGUGUUUAGUAUAUUGCGUUGUGCAAACAUCACCACAGUUGAUUUUAAAACAUUUUGUCACCCUCAAAAUGAAACUGCAGUAGCAGUCAUUCUUCAUCUUCCCUCAACUCUAGGCAAUCUACUUUCCAUCUCUAUAGACAUGCCUAUUCUGGGCAUUUUGUUUAAAGGAAACAAAUGAAAAUGUGGUCUUUUUCACUUAGUUCAUUUUCAAGUUUCAUCUGUGGAAUAGCAUGAAUUAGACAUUCCUUUCCUUGUUUUUGCCAAAUAAUAUUCAAUUACUUGGCUAUAACACAUUUAAUUCACCUCUUCAUCAGCUGGUGGACUUUUGGGUUUCUACUUUCUGGCUGUUAUGAAUAAUGUUGCUGUGAGUAUUUGUGUACAUGUUUUACAUGGACACAGGUUUCCAUUUCCCUUGGGUGUAUACCUAGGGGUGGAGGCACUGGGUCAUACUGUAACUCCUUCCUUGUAACUUCGCAUAUCAAAAUUAUGUUCUGCUACCAUAGUGUUCUACCAUUUCCCACUCCGAAUGAAAUGUCUCCGCAGUACUUCCCUUGUUUAGUACUUCAGAUCUGUAUUGACCAAUCUGCCUUGGAGCUCAUUCUUGAAUGGGUAUUUCCAUCCAUGUGAAUUUCUGGAAAGCAGGGACAAGCUCUCUCAUUUUGAUUUGCCCCAAGGCCUCAAGUGUAUUACCCUGCAUGAAGCAGGAACUCUGUAAGUGCUUUUGAAUUAGUGGGGAAUAAAAGUGUUAAAAUUUUGAUAUGCUUGAUCCCACAAAGUGUGCGUAAUACUAAAUAAAAUAAUGUUCACUGUAAAAUUUCAACAAAUAAAUGUUAAUAAAUAAC